rnacentral:rRNA from 2 species
CAGCCGCCGCGGUAACACCAGCCCCUCGAGUGGUGGGGAUGAUUAUUUGGCCUAAAGCGUCCGUAGCUGGCCCUGUAAAUCUCUCGUUAAAUCCAACGUCCUAAGCGUUGGGCUGCGAGAGAGACUGCAGAGCUAGAGGGUGGGAGAGGUCAGCGGUAUUCCUGGGGUAGGGGCGAAAUCCAUUGAUCUCAGGAGGACCACCAGUGGCGAAGGCUGCUGACUAGAACACGCCUGACAGUGAGGGACGAAAGCUGGGGUAGCGAAUCGGAUUAGAUACCCGAGUAGUCCCAGCUGUAAACUAUGCAAACUCAGUGAUGCAUUGGCUUGUGGCCAGUGCAGUGCUGCAGGGAAGCCGUUAAGUUUGCCGCCUGGGAAGUACGUACGCAAGUAUGAAACUUAAAGGAAUUGGCGGGGGAGCAC